rnacentral:rRNA from 1 species
GAAUUUUGGACAAUGGGCGAAAGCCUGAUCCAGCAAUGCCGCGUUCAGGAUGAAGGCCUUCGGGUUGUAAACUGCUUUUGUACGGAACGAAAAGCUUUGGGUUAAUACCCUGGUGUCAUGUCGGUACCGUAAGGAUAACCACCGGCUACCUUGGUGCCAUCCGCCGCGGGAAUACGUAGGGUGCAAGAGUUAAUCGGAAUUACUGGGCGUAAAGCGUGCGCAGGCGGUUUUGUAAGACAGAGGUGAAAUCCCCGGGCUCAACCUGGGAACUGCCUUUGUGACUGCAAGGCUAGAGUACGGCAGAGGGGGGUGGUAUUCCGCGUGUAGCAGUGAAAUGCGUAGAUAUGCGGAGGAACACCGAUGGCGAAGGCAACCCCCUGGGCCUGUACUGACGCUCAUGCACGAAAGCGUGGGGAGCAAAC